GUGGGGUGAUGGCCUACCAAGGCGACGACGGGUAGCCGGCCUGAGAGGGCGACCGGCCACACUGGGACUGAGACACGGCCCAGACUCCUACGGGAGGCAGCAGUGGGGAAUAUUGCGCAAUGGGCGAAAGCCUGACGCAGCAACGCCGCGUGAGGGAUGAAGGCCUUCGGGUUGUAAACCUCUUUCAGCAGGGAAGAAGCGAAAGUGACGGUACCUGCAGAAGAAGCACCGGCUAACUACGUGCCAGCAGCCGCGGUAAUACGUAGGGUGCAAGCGUUGUCCGGAAUUAUUGGGCGUAAAGAGCUCGUAGGCGGUUUGUCGCGUCUGCUGUGAAAACCUGGGGCUUAACUCCGGGGCCUGCAGUGGGUACGGGCAGACUAGAGUGCGGUAGGGGAGACUGGAAUUCCUGGUGUAGCGGUGAAAUGCGCAGAUAUCAGGAGGAACACCGAUGGCG
rnacentral:rRNA from 1 species